rnacentral:rRNA from 1 species
CGGCCACAUUGGGACUGAGACACGGCCCAGACUCCUACGGGAGGCAGCAGUGGGGAAUAUUGCACAAUGGGGGAAACCCUGAUGCAGCGACGCCGCGUGGAGGAAGAAGGUCUUCGGAUUGUAAACUCCUGUUGUUGAGGAAGAUAAUGACGGUACUCAACAAGGAAGUGACGGCUAACUACGUGCCAGCAGCCGCGGUAAAACGUAGGUCACAAGCGUUGUCCGGAAUUACUGGGUGUAAAGGGAGCGCAGGCGGGAGAACAAGUUGGAAGUGAAAUCCAUGGGCUCAACCCAUGAACUGCUUUCAAAACUGUUUUUCUUGAGUAGUGCAGAGGUAGGCGGAAUUCCCGGUGUAGCGGUGGAAUGCGUAGAUAUCGGGAGGAACACCAGUGGCGAAGGCGGCCUACUGGGCACCAACUGACGCUGAGGCUCGAAAGUGUGGGUAGCAAACAGGAUUAGAUACCCUGGUAGUCCACACCGUAAACGAUGAUUACUAGGUGUUGGAGGAUUGACCCCUUCAGUGCCGCAGUUAACACAAUAAGUAAUCCACCUGGGGAGUACGACCGCAAGGUUGAAACUCAAAGGAAUUGACGGGGGCCCGCACAAGCAGUGGAGUAUGUGGUUUAAUUCGACGCAACGCGAAGAACCUUACCAAGUCUUGACAUCCCUUGACGAUGCUGGAAACAGUAUUUCUCUUCGGAGCAAGGAGACAGGUGGUGCAUGGUUGUCGUCAGCUCGUGUCGUGAGAUGUUGGGUUAAGUCCCGCAACGAGCGCAACCCUUAUGGUCAGUUACUACGCAAGAGGACUCUGGCCAGACUGCCGUUGACAAAACGGAGGAAGGUGGGGAUGACGUCAAAUCAUCAUGCCCUUUAUGACUUGGGCUACACACGUACUACAAUGGCGUUAAACAAAGAGAAGCAAGACCGCGAGGUGGAGCAAAACUCAGAAACAACGUCCCAGUUCGGACUGCAGGCUGCAACUCGCCUGCACGAAGUCGGAAUUGCUAGUAAUCGUGGAUCAGCAUGCCACGGUGAAUACGUUCCCGGGCCUUGUAC